rnacentral:lncRNA from 1 species
GGGGGUGACUGCAGACGCGGCGUUCGAGCUGGGAUUACCGACAAGGGCCGGGAGGUUCCAGCGGCAAGCCCAGGAUCCGGGCAUGGACCCUAUGCACGUGAAUGUUGAGCCGCGGGUUACCUGCCAGUUGCUGUUUGCCAUCCGCUAUUCCUGCCAUCGUUCCCGUAGCACACUGCACGUUUGAGGCGACGCGUGCAGCUUCGUCCUUUCCUCAUAAAAGUGCCUUAACAGGACAACAUAACGAUUGUGAGCCGCCUUAACAUCCGGUUUGUAUGUGAGUACUUAUCCAUAGUUUCAGGACACGCCCCCUCCGUCAAGGCCAUAAGACUUGGAGCUUAUCUAUUAAACUGGCUUGCUUAUAAUCAUUAUGAAGGUCUACAAACUUUCGUGCCAAAGUACGCGGCGCACAGCAUGGUGCAACCUGCGAGGCAUCCCUCUCUACCGCUGAGGAAUUGUUAUGCGUAAACUCCUAAAGUAAACUUUGAGUACACCGGCGGUUCGGCAUGCAAGUAGUUUGCAGGUCAUCUUCUCAGGGUCGGAGCUACUGGCAUGGCCCAGAUGUCUGCAAUUUCGUAUAGGAUCAUUGCAAUAAAACUAGUCUUUCAUAAAUGUAGAAGAAUCUUUACAUGCUUACCGGCCAGACAUUUGUUGGCAGGUAAGAGACCGUAGAUCAUGUUCCCGCCCGCCUUUUGUAGUCGAAGGGCCAUGUACGCACAAGAAAGCAUUCAUGCUUUAUAAUCCGUGAACAUUUACUCUUUAGGUA